rfam:Punica granatum cultivar Dabenzi scaffold109, whole genome shotgun sequence.
AGAAGAAUAACAGUGCAAUUCUCCUUUGGCAGACACAUACAUACUUAUAUAUAUACACGUAUUUAUGUGCAUUAUAUUUGUACAACUUUAUUUGAUGAUUGUAGUUCUGCCAAAGGAGAAUUGCCCUGCCAUUCCGUG